AUUGAACGCUGGCGGCAGGCCUAACACAUGCAAGUCGAACGGUAACAGGAAGAAGCUUGCCUCUUUGCUGACGAGUGGCGGACGGGUGAGUAAUGUCUGGGAAACUGCCUGAUGGAGGGGGAUAACUACUGGAAACGGUAGCUAAUACCGCAUAACGUCGCAAGACCAAAGAGGGGGACCUUCGGGCCUCUUGCCAUCGGAUGUGCCCAGAUGGGAUUAGCUAGUUGGUGGGGUAACGGCUCACCAAGGCGACGAUCCCUAGCUGGUCUGAGAGGAUGACCAGCCACACUGGAACUGAGACACGGUCCAGACUCCUACGGGAGGCAGCAGUGGGGAAUAUUGCACAAUGGGCGCAAGCCUGAUGCAGCCAUGCCGCGUGUAUGAAGAAGGCCUUCGGGUUGUAAAGUACUUUCAGCGGGGAGGAAGGGAGUAAAGUUAAUACCUUUGCUCAUUGACGUUACCCGCAGAAGAAGCACCGGCUAACUCCGUGCCAGCAGCCGCGGUAA
rnacentral:rRNA from 1 species